UCCUCAUCCCGAGCGGCCGAGGGAACUGGCCCGACGACGCCGCGGCAACCGGCGGGAACCCCGCAAGGUGCCAAUGCCAGCCCCCCAGGGGAACGAUGAGGA
rnacentral:ncRNA from 2 species